rnacentral:rRNA from 1 species
ACGGAGGGUGCGAGCGUUGUCCGGAAUCACUGGGCGUAAAGGGCGCGUAGGCGGCGCGGGAAGUCCGUGGUGAAAGCCCGAGGCUCAACUUCGGGUCGGCCAUGGAUACUCCUGGGCUUGAGCACUGUAGAGGCAGGUGGAAUUCCGGGUGUAGCGGUGGAAUGCGUAGAGAUCCGGAAGAACACCGGUGGCGAAGGCGGCCUGCUGGGCAGUAGCUGACGCUGAGGCGCGACAGCGUGGGGAGCAAACAGGA